GAUGAACGCUGGCGGCGUGCCUAAUACAUGCAAGUCGAGCGAAGCGGGGACGGGUGAGUAACACGUGGCUAACCUCCUAUAAGACUGGGAUAACUUCGGGAAACCGGAGCUCAAUCGGAUACUUAUAGAGGGAUACGGGCUGCAUUAGCUAGUGGGUAAGGUAACGUCUUACCAAGGCUACGAUGCAUAGCCGACCUGCGAGGAUGAUCGGCCACACUGGAACGUGGACACGGUCCAUACUCCUACGGGAGGCAGCAGUAGGGAAUCUUCCGCAAUGGGCGAAAGCCUGACGGAGCAACGCCGCGUGAGUGAUGAAGGUCUUCGGAUCGUAAAACUCUGUUAUUAGGGAUGCGGUACCUAAUCAGAAAGCCACGGCUAACUACGUGCCAGCAGCCGCGGUAAUUC
rnacentral:rRNA from 1 species